rnacentral:rRNA from 1 species
UACAGAGGGUGCAAGCGUUAAUCGGAAUUACUGGGCGUAAAGCGUGCGUAGACGGUUAUGUAAGUCGGGUGUGAAAGCCCCGGGCUCAACCUGGGGAAUUGCAUUCGAGACUGUGUAGCUAGGGUACGGAAGAGGGAAGCGGAAUUUCAGGUGUAGCGGUGAAAUGCGUAGAUAUCUGAAGGAACACCAGUGGCGAAAAGCGGCUUCCUGGUCCAGUACCGACGUCAGGCACGAAAGCGUGGGGAGCAAACAGG